ACGGGUGAGUAAUGCUUGGGAAUCUAGCUUAUGGAGGGGGAUAACUACGGGAAACUGUAGCUAAUACCGCGUAAUAUCGAAAGAUUAAAGUGUGGGACCUUCGGGCCACAUGCCAUAGGAUGAGCCCAAGUGGGAUUAGGUAGUUGGUGGGGUAAAGGCCUACCAAGCCUGCGAUCUCUAGCUGGUCUGAGAGGAUGGCCAGCCACACUGGAACUGAGACACGGCCCAGACUCCUACGGGAGGCAGCAGUAGGGAAUCUUCGGCAAUGGACGGAAGUCUGACCGAGCAACGCCGCGUGAGUGAAGAAGGUUUUCGGAUCGUAAAGCUCUGUUGUAAGAGAAGAACGAGUGUGAGAGUGGAAAGUUCACACUGUGACGGUAUCUUACCAGAAAGGGACGGCUAACUACGUGCCAGCAGCCGCGGUAAUACGUAGGUCCCGAGCGUUGUCCGGAUUUAUUGGGCGUAAAGCGAGCGCAGGCGGUUCCUUAAGUCUGAUGUGAAAGCCCCCGGCUCAACCGGGGAGGGUCAUUGGAAACUGGGGAACUUGAGUGCAGAAGAGGAGAGUGGAAUUCCAUG
rnacentral:rRNA from 1 species